UCGGGGAGAAAUGGGACGGGUGAGCGGGACGCUGCACAGGACAGAGGCCAUAAAUAAUUAAAGGGAAGUUGGGGAAGGGGCAGAAAUGGCUUUCCUCGUGAUGCGAUGUCACUGACGGGCUUAAAAACACGAACAAAAACCAGUGUCCGCCAAAGGGACAGACUCCUUAACUGGGCAAGUCGGGCCCGGCUUUGAUCACCUAGGGAACAGGUGCUACUCCCCUGCUGGGCCGCAGGGCUUGGUGUGCAGGAGGCAUCUAAAUAAAUGUGGAUUCCCUCCUCCCUCUCCUGGACUUUCUGGAACAGUUGCUUGGUUCUGUUUUGUUUUAUUUUUUACAACUUACACCUCAUCAUCUCCACAUUGUGAUCCAGUGACGUUCCUAGAAUAAGAUGCCAUCUCCCAACUCUUGCCAUUGUCACUGGAUCUUUCCUAUGAUGGGAAUUCUGUCUCUCCUCAUCUCUGCUUCCUGGAUUCUUUCAGAUUUAAUUAAAAUUUUGCCUUGUACAAGAAGCUUUUUUCAAUCCUCA